rnacentral:lncRNA from 1 species
GCUGGGGAGGAUGACUGAUAUGCCACCAAAAUCGAAUCUGUUGGUUUAUUUUUUGUUUAAUCAUUUUCUCUUCUAAGAUGGUACAUUGGAGCAUACCAUCCUCGAGACCUAUACUCUCAUCUCUGACCGAGCCUAUUUAAGGUACAAAUCCUCUCCACUAUCAAUUAUUUUUGAAUUUCUUCAUAUUCCGUUACUUAUUAUUUUUCUUUAAUCUACUUCUUCCUGUAUUUUUCUCCUCUUCUUCAUGGUUUAUUUUCAUUUUUUUUCCCAUCAUCUUCUCCAAUCCCACCUUCUCCGCAGCCCUAUCCCCAACCCCAACUCUAACUCGAGUUCUAAUCCUAACCCAAUCCCUAACCCUAAUCCUAACCCAAGUUAUAACCCUAACCCCAAUCCUAACCCCACCCCUAAGACUAACCAGACCCUAAACCCUAAUCGAAACCCUAAUCUUGAUCUUAACUGAAGCCAUAACCCUUAACCCUAACCAGAUCCCUAACCCUAAUCCCCACACCCAACCC